UAUGUACGCUCCACUUCACUUCUAGCCAAAGACAAACGGCGCGGCUUGGAAGGAAGGUUUGCGCCACGCCUGUUCUUGCAUUAUCUGUACACAUGACCCUAACAAGCAGCUGGAUUCUCCUACGUGACUUAGGCAACCAGAUAGAUAUAUAUAGCACAUAGCAAGAAUAAACUCCGAGGGAUGGGAGCACCGAUCAUUCCUACUGGCUGUCAGAAGCACGUGGCCUCUCCCAGGGCGCUGCCCGGAAAAACCAGAAACUUCAGUGGCACUCAGGACUGCUAGAAGUAACACGUAGCGGAAACAUUGACAUCCACGGAUUCAUUUUCUACACGUGCAUUUUGGCGUGAAAAACGACAAGAGAGUUAUAUCUUUUUCACUCGAUGCAGCUGAGGAGACAGGAGCACCUUCCACGUUUUGGCUAGAAAACCCACAAGAUGGUUUUCUUCACUUUUCCACUCGACCAGGAAAGCUAAAAGCGCCUUGCACCUACAUCAAAUUACUCAGACGUUCUCUUGAUGAUAAUUUUAAUUUUGUGGGUGCAACUGGAGAGACAGGCGCAUCCUCAUAUUUUGACUUCGAAAACGACA